rnacentral:tRNA from 2 species
GUCGAUAUGUCCGAGUGGUUAAGGAGUUUGACUCGAAAUCAAUUGGGCUUUGCCCGCGCAGGUUCGAAUCCUGCUGUCGACG